rnacentral:rRNA from 1 species
UACGUAGGGGGGCAAGCGUUGUCCGGAUUUAUUGGGCGUAAAGAGCGUGUAGGCGGCCAGGUAGGUCUGCUGUGAAAACUCGAGCUAACCUCGACGACGCCGGUGGAACUGACAAGCAUAGAGUCCGGAAGAGGAGAGUGGAAUCCUGGUGUAGCGGUGAAUGCGCAGAUAUCAGGAAGAACACCCGUGGCGAAGGCGGCUCUCUGGGGACGGUACUGACGCUGAGACGCGAAAGCGUGGGGAGCGAACAGG